CCGCUGAACUUAAGCAUAUCAAUAAGCGGAGGAAAAGAAACUAACAAGGAUUCCCCUAGUAACUGCGAGUGAAGCGGGAAGAGCUCAAAUUUAAAAUCUGGUGGUCCUUGACCAUCCGAGUUGUAAUCUAGAGAAGUGUUUACCUGUGCUGGACCGUGUAAAAGUCUUCUGGAAUGGAGCAUCACAGAGGGUGAGAAUCCCGUCUUUGACAUGGACUACCAGUGCGUCGUGGUGCGCUCUCGAAGAGUCGAGUUGUUUGGGAAUGCAGCUCAAAAUGGGUGGUAAAUGCCAUCUAAAGCUAAAUAUUGGCGAGAGACCGAUAGCGAACAAGUACCGUGAGGGAAAGAUGAAAAGAACUUUGGAAAGAGAGUUAAACAGUACGUGAAAUUGCUGAAAGGGAAACGCUUGAAGUCAGUCGCGUUGGCUAGAAAUCAGCCUUGCUUUUGCUUGGUGUACUUUCUUGUUGACGGGUCAGCAUCGGUUUUGAACACUGGAUAAAGUCUUUGGGAAUGUGGCAUCUUUUUUUGAUGUGUUAUAGCCCAUUGUCGCAUACGGUGGUUGGGACCGAGGAACUCAGCACGCCGCAAGGCUGGGUCUCUGGACCACGCUCGUGCUUAGGAUGCUGGCAGAAUGGCUUUAAUCGACCCGUCUUGAAACACGGACCAAGGAGUCUAACAUGCCUGCGAGUGU
rnacentral:rRNA from 1 species